GAACGCACCUUGCGCUCCUUGGUAUUCCGAGGAGCAUGCCUGUUUGAGUGUCAUUAAUAUAUAUAUCAAACUUCUCUUGUUGAGUGGCUUGGAUGUGGGGGUUUGCUGGCAUCUUAAAAAGGUUCAGCUCCCCUGAAAUGCAUUAGCAGAACAACCUGUUCAUUGGUGUGAUAAAACUAUCUACGCUAUUGAAUGUGAGGGGCAGUUCAGCUUUCUAACAGUCCUUGGACAAAUCAUCAUUAAUGUGACCUCAAAUCAGGUAGGACUACCCGCUGAACUUAAG
rnacentral:misc_RNA from 1 species